rnacentral:rRNA from 1 species
AGUUGAAAGGAGCUUGCUUUUUCAACUCAGUGGCGGACGGGUGAGUAACGCGUGAGUAACCUGCCUUUCAGAGGGGGAUAACGUUCUGAAAAGAACGCUAAUACCGCAUAAGAUUGUAGUUUCGCAUGGAGCAGCAAUCAAAGGAGCAAUCCGCUGAAAGAUGGACUCGCGUCCGAUUAGAUAGUUGGCGGGGUAACGGCCCACCAAGUCGACGAUCGGUAGCCGGACUGAGAGGUUGAUCGGCCACAUUGGGACUGAGACACGGCCCAGACUCC